rnacentral:rRNA from 1 species
GGACCCGCACAAGCGGUGGAGCAUGUGGUUUAAUUCGAUGCAACGCGAAAAACCUUACCUACACUUGACAUACUUGGAAUCUUUUGUAAUGAAAGAGUGCCUUUUGGAGCCAAGAUACAGGUGCUGCAUGGCUGUCGUCAGCUCGUGUCGUGAGAUGUUGGGUUAAGUCCCAUAACGAGCGCAACCCUUACCCUUAUUUGCCAGCGAUUCGGUCGGGAACUAUAAGGGGACUGCCGGUGAUAAACCGGAGGAAGGUGAGGACGACGUCAAGUCAUCAUGGCCCUUACGUGUAGGGCUACACACGUGCUACAAUGGGGAGUACAGAUAGACGCUAAAGCGCGAGCUGGUGCUAAUCUCAUAAAACUCUUCGUAGUCCGGAUUGCAGUCUGCAACUCGACUGCAUGAAGUCGGAAUCGCUAGUAAUCG